rnacentral:rRNA from 1 species
AAGCCUUGACAUUGAUUGAAUUCACCAGAGAUGGAGAAGUGCUAGUUUACUAGAACAUGAAAACAGGUGCUGCACGGCUGUCGUCAGCUCGUGUCGUGAGAUGUUGGGUUAAGUCCCGCAACGAGCGCAACCCUCGUCGUUAGUUGCUAACAGUUCGGCUGAGCACUCUAGCGAGACUGCCUUCGCAAGGAGGAGGAAGGUGAGGACGACGUCAAGUCAUCAUGGCCCUUAUGGCUUGGGCUACACACGUGCUACAAUGGGGCGUACAGAGAGUUGCGAUACCGCGAGGUGGAGCUAAUCUCAUAAAGCGUCUCUCAGUUCGGAUAGAACUCUGCAACUCGAGUUCUUGAAGCUGGAAUCACUAGUAAUCGUAGAUCAGCAAUGCUACGGUGAAUACGUUCCCGGGUCU